rnacentral:rRNA from 1 species
AUGAAGUUGGAGUUGCUAGUAAUCGCGGAUCAGCAUGUCGCGGUGAAUACGUUCCCGGGCCUUGUACACACCGCCCGUCACACCAUGGGAGUUGGGAGCGCCCGAAGCCGGUGAGGUAACCGAGAGGAGCCAGCCGUCGAAGGUGAGACCAAUGACUGGGGUGAAGUCGUAACAAGGUAGC